ACCUGGGCUCGAACGUAAGAUGACUGUAGGUGAAAGACUUACAUCUCUUCGGAGCAGUUUUACGAGGUGCUGCAUGGUUGUCGUCAGCUCGUGCCGUGAGGUGUCGGGUUAAGUCCCAUAACGAGCGCAACCCCUACCUUUAGUUGCCAUCAGGUUAAGCUGGGGACUCUAAAGGAACUGCCUACGCAAGUAGUGAGGAAGGCGGGGAUGACGUCAAAUCAGCACGGCCCUUACGUCCAGGGCUACACACGUGCUACAAUGGCCGAUACAGAGGGCAGGCUACCUGGUGACAGGAUGCAAAAUACUCCAAAGUCGGUCUCAGUUCGGAUCGGAGUCUGCAACCCGACUCCGUGAAGUUGGAUUCGCUAGUAAUCGCGCAUCAGCCAUGGCGCGGUGAAUACGUUCCCGGGCCUU
rnacentral:rRNA from 1 species